AGCGGCGGACGGGUGAGUAACGCGUGGGAAUAUGCCCUUCUCUAAGGAAUAGCCUCGGGAAACUGAGAGUAAUACCUUAUACGCCCUUCGGGGGAAAGAUUUAUCGGAGAAGGAUUAGCCCGCGUUAGAUUAGGUAGUUGGUGGGGUAAUGGCCUACCAAGCCUACGAUCUAUAGCUGGUUUGAGAGGAUGAUCAGCCACACUGGGACUGAGACACGGCCCAGACUCCUACGGGAGGCAGCAGUAGGGAAUCUUAGACAAUGGGGUAAACCCUGAUCUAGCCAUGCCGCGUGUGUGAUGAAGGCCUUAGGGUCGUAAAGCACUUUCGCCAGAGAUGAUAAUGACAGUAUCUGGUAAAGAAACCCCGGCUAACUCCGUGCCAGCAGCCGCGGUAAUACGGAGGGGGUUAGCGUUGUUCGGAAUUACUGGGCGUAAAGCGCACGUAGGCGGAUUAGUAAGUUAAGGGUGAAAUCCCAGGGCUCAACCCUGGAACUGCCUUUAAUACUGCUAGUCUUGAGUUCGAGAGAGGUAAGUGGAAUUCCAAGUGUAGAGGUGAAAUUCGUAGAUAUUUGGAGGAACACCAGUGGCGAAGGCGGCUUACUGGCUCGAAACUGACGCUGAGGUGCGAAAGUGUGGGGAGCAAACAGGAUUAGAUACCCUGGUAGUCCACACCGA
rnacentral:rRNA from 1 species